CCUCUUUCUCCAGACGAGCAAAUAAAAUGAAAAGCAACAGAAAAGAAUUAAAUGAGUAAGACAAUCUUCAAAGGAAAGAGGUUCUCGGUUCGACGGUCAACUUUGCCACUCACCGUAGGGCUAAUGAGAAUGGGAUUCAUUACCUAGGAGGUAAGCGUUAGUAGAGAUUUAUGCCUUAAACUUAUGAGUAAGGAAAAUAACGAUUCGGGGUGACGCCCGAAUCCUCACUGCUAAUGUGAGACGAAUUUUUGAGCGGGUAAAGGUUGCCCCUACGGUGACCCGCCUACUUUGCGGGAUGCCUGGGUGUUGCGAUCUGCCCGUACCUCUUGCAUUUAAAAGGUAGAAUUUAGAAAUUAACCCAAUUGAGGAAAGUUAAAAACGAACUAAGGAAUUACGUUGUCGAUUAACGGUGGUGGUCAAAUCUCGCGCCCCUAUCCGGGGUUGUUAACCCGUAAAAGGGUUAAUAUUGGGUUAAGAUAAUACAGUCAGUUUUUUGGAGCUUACUAGCGGCGUCGACUGGGAGUGUUACCAGUUAAUUGUUAGGGGGAGACAACGUGCAGUACACGGGAGCCUCGUUGUGUGGGUUAUAAUGCAGUGCUUACGUACCACGGCUCACACUUCUGGGCCGUAGGACGUUUACAACCGAAUGUUUUUGCCAGCCUGACCGUUGUCUUCCUGAUCUGCACAAUGGGGCACAUGAACUACGUCGCUGCGAGGGCCAAAUGAAGUGUUCCGAAUCUGUAUUUUUUUUUUUUAAUUUAUGUAAUCUCAGUCUCCAGCACUGAUCCCGGUGGGAGGUUCAGUAUGUCGAACCAGUGAAUGAAAAAUACAACAACAGCAGGAAACGGAAUUCCUUGGCGAUCCAGUGGUGAGGACUGCGCGGUUCUGCUGCAGCGAGCCCGGGGUUAGAUCCCUGAUCGCGGAAGUAAAACCCCCGCGUGUAGCGCGGUGUGGCCGAAACACCACAAACAGAAACAUAAAACAAAGACUAAACGUGCAACGCGUUUUAGACCAGCGCCGAACAAAGAUUUAAGUGCCCUAUGAAUCACUGCUGUAAGUACAACGGGUGAGUGGAGUUAUGUGUUCUCGACAGAACAUCACACCGCAGAUGAAAACCUGGCAUCAGAAAGAAGGUCCGUGGAGAGACGAGCUGGUGAAGAUUGGGCACCGGAGGAGGGAAAUCCAGGUCCCCGCCUUCGCAGCCGUGAUUGGCUGCUGGCUGGCCCUCCUUUUCUCAGUCGUGAAACAGGACCAUUAACUCCUCCCUCCGCGAGGUGCCGGGAAAGAACGCGGAAACCAGGAACCAACCCUUGGCCGGCUGCACAGCGAAGGGCAGGCAGGUGCGCAGGAUUAGGAAAGGGCCAGAGGAGCGCGGGAGUUAAGGCCCUUUCGCACCUCCACGCGAAGAAAGCGAAGUAUGGGGACAGGCACCAGGAGACCUAAUGUGUGUCGGGCGCUCAGCAGUGUCCUCAGCAGACGGUAGGUGUGGAGAGUCAAGCGCUCAGCAGAGUCCUCAGCAGACGGUAGGUGUAGAGAAGAGCCAUCAGGGCCUGAGAGGCCCAGGCUGAGUCCUUCCCCUGCCCACUGAGGAGUCCCAGCCCUGCUCCAGGAUGUGUGAGGGCCAGAGACAGAAUGGAAGGUGAGAGAUGAAAGGGGAGAGUGGCUCUCUAGCCCCGAGGCCUCCUGUGAACUGCCCCGUCUUCUCUUCCCCACUCCACUCCAGCCACACUGGCCCUCACUGUGUCCCAGGGCCUCCGCACUUGCUGGUCACUCCCGCUGGAGUACCCCUCUAGCCCUGCCUCCCUCUCCAGUCUCAUCCUCACUGUCCCCUCAGCCACCUGCCUUCCUUGAUCUGUUUCUGGAAGUUUCUUCCACAAGCUUGUUCUAGCCACAAGGCCUUCACACUUGCUGUUCCGCCUUGAACACCUACCCCAGUGGGGCCAGCUCCUUCCCUUCACAUCGCAGCACAAAGGUCACCUCCUCAGAGGGAGUUCCUGCUGCCCAACUCUGAGAACAGCCCUCAUUCCCACACUGUCCCGCCUUCUUUUGUUUUUUAAUUUUAUUUUUAUUUUUGGUUGCGAUGGGUCUUUGUUGCUGCACAGGGACUUUCUCUAGUUGCGGUGAGCGGGGGCUAUUCUUCAUUGCAGUGCGUGGGCUUCUCAUUGUGGUGGCUUCUCUUGUGGAGCACGGGCUCUAGGCACGUGGGCUCAGCAGUUGUGGCUUGCAGACUCUAGAGCGCAGGCUCAGUAGUUGUGGCACACAGGCUUAGUUGCUCCGAGGCAUGUGGGAUCUUCCCAGACCAGGCCUUGAACCCGUGUCCCCUGCAUUGACAGGUGGAUUCUUAACCAGCGUGCCACCAGAGAAGCCCCACACUGUCCCAUCUUUAACUUCCAUCUUGGCAUUUCCCAUCACCAGUUACUUGUCUAGUGUCUUUAUUGUGAACACCCCAGGAGCAGGGAAGGGUGUGUCUGGAGCAGCCUUGGCCCUGGCCCUGGCCCUGGAAGAGUGCCUGAAUGAAUGAAGACACUCCCUUCCUCACCUGUAGCUUCCCCAGGACAGGGCGACACCUGCCUUGCCUCAGGCCCGACCUCCACCCUGAAAGCCAUUCACUGCCCUGAGCCUCAGUCUCUCUGUUGGAAAUAGGUGCUACUGACUUCUCUCUACUUCUCUCAGGGCUCUCCAGAGGACAGAGUAAAAAGGAAAACACUGGGGACACACGGGGUUGUCCAAAGUUGGGACUGGGGACACCUUUUAACACGGCUGAGAUGAUGUGAAUAAGGCUGGGUGUAAGGGGAGGGUUAAAAGUUGGACCCCCACUGUCCACACUCCAUCUAUUCCCAGGAAUCUACCCUAAAAGAAGUCAUAAGAAAGGAGGGUGAAGGACUGCCCUACUGGCGCAGUGCCUAAGAAUCCGCCUGCCAGUGCAGGGGCCACGGGUUCGAGCCCUGGCUUGGGAAGAGCCCACAUGCCGUGGAGCAACUAAGCCCGUGUGCCACGACUACUGAGCCUGCGCUCUGGAGCCCGCGAGCCACAACUACUGAGUCUGCGUGCCACAACUACUGAAGCCUGCGUGCCUAGAGUCUGUGCUCCACGACAAGAGAAGCCACCGCAAUGAGAAGCCCACGAACUGCAACGAAGCGUAGCCCCCGCUCGCCACAACUAGAGAAAGCCCGCAAGCAGCAACGAGGACCCAACGCAGCCAAAAAUAAAAAUAAAUUUAAAAUAAAUUUUUUAAAAAAA